rnacentral:lncRNA from 1 species
GUUCAGCUGAUUCUGUGUGGAGCAGAGGGAGUGCAUUGAACCCCAUGGCAGCAUUGCUGAUAUUGGAUGCCUGCUCUUUCUCUCAAGAAGCUACAGUGCGGUAAUUAAUUCAUUGUUCAAAUUUCAGAGCAGGCCAGGUUUUAAUCCCCUCUGAAAUUGGUUUCAUAUGUGGAAGUCAUAGUUCUCCACCUUCUAAUUGCAACAGGGAGAUAAUGCGGCAUUAGUAUCGCAAUUUUGAGCAUGGCAUUGGGCUGGAAAUAAAUAUCAUUUAAGCUUUGAAAGCGUGGCUGCUUGGAAACGUUUUCUUUCCUAUUUCACAAAUUUAAUGCAGAGAAGAGGCUGUGCUUAUUCAAAAGAAUUAUUCCUUGAGCUGCCAAAAAAAUUAAACAGGAGCAUUUUGGAUUCUAAAUAAACAGUCUUUCACUCUCAAAGUGAGUUUCAAGUCAGAUGGAGUGACUUGUUUGCGUAGACUUGCUGAGAUAAUAUUACCAUCAAGUUGAUUGAAUUUACAUUACUUUUUGUCAUGCUGUUUAUCUACAUAUACAUUGAACUUUGCACAGAAAGUCAUUCCUGAGCAAAGGUGACUGUGUCAGAGUCUGAAAGAAAGACUGGAGCAAGAGGAAAAAUUGCAAUUUUGUAGCUACUACCUGGCUAAUGUUUCUCUUCCAUCACCUUGGUCUUAAUCCUCCCCUUUUACUUAUGCAAAGAGGAGUCAAAUUGUUUGGAAAUCUUGGGGUUUAUUAAAAGCCUUUGAACUAGAUAAUGAAAAACUCUUUUGUUCCCUCCAUUAGCCUAGCACGGUUCUGACUUCUUCCUAUUCCCAUUGUUAAUAAAGGGCUUUUCAAAGAAGAGUCUUCUGACCGUUUUAAUACCUCAGUUGGUAUGUGUUUGCUUUAGGCCCUCAUCAACAAGACAAACCAACAUAGUUUUAGAAUACACAACUUAUUGUUUGUAUUUUUAUAGGGCUAUAUGUUUUUCAGAGCUCUGACACUAAGGCCUCUUGACACAGAAUUAUAGUUUCCCCAUAUUAUUGAUGAAAAGAUUAAUUAAUCUCUGUGAGCUUCAGUUUCUUCAAGGUCAUACAGCAUGCUGGAGUCAGGUAAGACUACCCAGACAAACUCUGCACCUCAAACAUCUUUGCCAAGUAGAUAUUUUAUUUAGUAUCCUGCCCUCCAGCAAAUCCCUGAAAGAAAGCCCAGGGGCACUGAAGUGAUAUGCAAGUCCCAAGUUGAAGCCAUGGGCUCCAGGCUUAUAUUCUGUGACGUACUUUUCACCCUCACUCUCCCAAGGCAUGGGGUAUAGCUCUUGCACUGAGCUGGCUCUAUAUACAGAGGAAAUCUGAUACAGUUCAGACUAGCUCUUCAAAUCCUUCUUUGUUACAAUAAGAAAAUCUCAUUUAUGAGACUUAACUCCAAGAGUAAUGACAGCAACAAUAAUAAAAAAAAGGCUAACUUUAUAAACGAUUACGAUACGCUAAUCACUUUAUAUACAAAUUCUCAUUUAGUCCUCAUAGCAAAUAUGAGAAAGGUACUAUUACCACCCAUUUUACAGAUGGUAAAACUGAGAUUUGGGGACAUUAUCACAUAUGGGAAUCUGGAUUUAAACCCAACGUGUCUGACUCCAGAGUCUACACUUGCAGCUAUUCAUGCUGCCCUCUGUGUGCCAGGUGCUUUUCAUACAGCAUUGCCAAUUCUCACAAUAACUUCACAAAAAUAGAAAGUGAAGAGUCUAGCUCAAGGUCACAGAGCUAUUAAGGAACAGUUUCAAGAUCUAACACUAUGCCAGCCUGACUCCUUCCUUUAUGCUGAGGUGCUUUGCCCACUGCUAGGGAGAGAUCUGGCCCCGUGGCAAGGCCUGCCAAAGCCCUGGGUGAGAGGACGCCAUAGGCUACUUACCACGUUCUUGUAGAGGUAGUACACCACCAUCCUGGCCAGGCGCGAGUAACACCAGUGGCCAUGCACGAGCAGCAACUUCUUGAGAUGCUUAAAGCGGGUGAUGGCAAAGUCGCUGGACAUGACAGCCUGAGAGGUGAGAACAGACACAUCAGCUUCCAUCCAUGGCUGCCAGUGCCCCAGAGGGACUCUCUCAAGGGCGUUGCUUUGGUCUAGGCCUACGGCCAGCAGAGUCCUAAAGACCCCUUGUUGUGGUCACUCUUGGGUAGCUUUUUGGAUUCUGACACCCCACCCUCCCUUCUGGGAAAUCCAAACCUCUCUAGAAUCCAAGGAGGGCAGAUCAGAAGGGAUCAGUGGUCUAGGCUGGCUCUUCAUCCGUUUAUCCAGCA